UAUGUGGGACACAAAAUAAUUUUUUGAAGAACUGUUACAUAUUUCUUGCCAUACAACCAAGGUUCAUAGUGACCAAGGGCUGUCAAACACCAAAAAGCAACAUAAUAGUAGUUUAUACAACUUGUGUGCUAUUUUCCAAGUCUUCGAUCCACCUGCGCUUUGUUUUUAAGGUUGGCAUACAGUACGUACAUGAAUCAGAUGGAUGUUUGACUUGCACUUUUUAGUGUUUAAUCCUGUUCUGCACACACACACUAGUUUACAAGAGUUACAACUGCAUUUUACAACCAAACUGAAUCCUGAAAAAUGCAGGUAGUGACAACCACAUCUACAACAGUUUUGACUCCUAAGUGUUGCCAGAUCUCGCUAAAAAACAAAAACAAAACAAACAACAACAACAAUAAAACAAAUAAGAACAAGCCUAUAUUAAACUUGCAUCCAUACACAUUAUCUUGGAAUUAAGCCAUAUUCCAAAAUAUAGCGACUUGCACCUGCAUCUUUUAUUAACUUCAUAAACUGGAUCUUUUGUGAGCUGAGCCCAAACAAUAAGGCCAAAGUGGCUUAAUAAACUUCACUAUAAUAUGUGGACCUGGCAACCCUUUAAGAGCGUCUUCCAAACAGAUUUCCAGACUUCCAAACAUAAAUAAAACGCAUGGCUCUGUUGACGGUGGUUUAGUUAAAAUCACUGAAUAUAAUGGUCUUUGGUUGCUGUAAUAUUACUUUGGUCAGAAAUAGAGGAUACCAAAUGCGCAAGAUGACAAAACGUUGUUAUGGUUACCAUGAUGUCAGUAAAUGCAAUUUCAAGAGUGAGAUCUGUUCCGUACAAAUACGAAUCUGUAAUAUAGGGGAUUUGCUCCCGAAUUUAAAGGGAUAGUUCACCCAAAAAUGAAAAUUAUGUCAAUUACUCAUCUUUACUCAAACAUAGCAAGGACAUCUGUAAAAUAGUCCAUGUGACAUCAGGGGAUCAACCAUAAUUUUACAAAGCCACACAAAUACUUUUUGUGCACAAAGAAAACAAAAAUAACUUUAUUCAACAACUCUUCUCCUCCUCAUCUCAUCCGCUGUGGUGCACCGCCAUUAUGGAGAAAGUAUCACAACAUUUGCGCUUUGUUCCAUUGGCAUUGGCAAAAUCAAGCCAUAAGGCAUUAUGGUUUGUCAUUACAUAAAGAUUUGCCGACCAAAUGAAUUUAAAAAAGCAAGUCUGCUCUUCUUUUAGAUUACUGUAAUUAUAUUGCAAGGUUGUUUUCAUCAUGGCAGGCUUGACCAACAUUUCUUUCACACUCAGAUAUACACAUCACAAUAUUGAAGAAAAAAGGUCACUAUUUCCAUUACAGCUGUAAAAAAAAAAAUGGCACACUACUUUUGGUUACCACACAGCCAAGACUUGGAACAUCACAUACAAGUCAUAGGAAGCUCUUUGAUGGGCUUUUUUUUAUUUUUUAUUUUUUUUUUUACAGCUCAUGGUCACCAUGAAAUGAGGUUUUAAUGGCAAGACCUAUAUAACAAUUCUUAAUAAAAAAUAAAUAAAAAAAGCAAACCUUUUGUGAUCCAUAGAAAAAUGAUUAGCAUUUAGGUUUGGAAUGACCCGAGGGUGAGUAAACAAUGACAACAUUUUCCUUUUUUUCUACUCCUUUUCCUCACAUUUGAAGUCACAAGAGUUUGAACGGCAGCUGGUUGUUGUUUGAAGUAUCUCUGUCUUUGACAUCAUCACAAACUAAUAUUUAGUUAGUAAGGUUGAGUUUCCCUUUAGUGUGAAAAUCAUUAAAAGUCCUUUCCCUUCCUCUCAAGGGCCCAGGGUGAAAUCUGGGCUUUCAGUGUUGUCACUUCUGUUUACUGCCACAGAGCUCUUGUACUUGACAUUAUUUUUUUAAGGAAGAAGAAAAAAAGAAAGAAAAGGAGUAACACUUAACAUAAAGCAGCAUGUCAGAAUGCCUUCAUAGUGGAAUAAUGAACACAAUGUAAUGGCUCAGUAAAUUAAUACAGAUUACUCUUUUCAGUCUUAAAAUGUGCUAAAUAAUUCCGUAAGAACUAUAUUUCAAUUAAACACAAUUUUACAGUACUAAUGAUGCCAGCAUAUUGUUUUGGUGCAUUCAUUUAAAAAAUAAAAUAAAAAUAAAAAUAAAAACAAACAAACAAAAAACUAAAUCUAAAAAAUAAAAUAAAAAUAAAACGCACACACAAACACAAUAAAAAACAAAACAAAACCCAAGCUGUGUAAAAUUCACAGCGGGCCUUUUGAAGUGUUUUGAAGACAUGUUCAGGUGUGGCGUUUAUAAGGCAUCUUGACUAACUGCUGUGUGGAAAGCGCUACUGAAUUAUCCUGCUAAAGGUUGUUGCACUACUGCUUUCCGUACCAGGAAAGAGUUGCUUUUGGUGGCAUAAGAGUAAGUUAUGUUAGUUAGAUCAAGGAGAAUAUUUGUAAGGAUGCGUUAAAAAGCAGAAAAUUGACAUCAGAGGCAAAAAAAAAAAUAAUAAUAAUAAUAAUUUGAUGGAUUUAGAAUGCCUCUUACAACAUUUAUUCUCUGAAAUAUUUUUAUUUUAUUUUUUUUCAUCAUGAAUAUGUUUAUUAGGAAUUAUUCAAUUGUAGAAAUGUGAUUUCUUUUGGGUAGCUGAGGAAAGAGUUUUUAUUUUUAUUUUUUCUGAGGAGAAAUGUAUAUGAUAUGCAGAUUUUGACCCAAAAUCCCUCUUUCUUGGAAUGAGUGCCCUGUUUCAAGGGCGUUACCAUCACUGUGAUCAUUAUACCUCUCUCCACUCAUACAAAUCAUCCACAAUGGGGCACUAAACUGAAUCUGUUUUGGCAAAAAUGACUGCAAAUUUUUUGAAUCGAAAGACCUUUGUCCAGUGCCAGAGAGGACAGCGCAACAGUGGUGCCUAACAGUGGUUUGUCUCAGAACUCACUCACUCACUCAGCAUUGUAUACGCUAAUACACAUGAAGGAUAAAAAAAUGUUUUAUGUAUAUACACGUGUGUUUAUAUGUGUAUAUAUAUUUAUACAGUUACUGACAUGGACAAAUGAAUGUUGAGAUGAUUGAGCUGAGCUG
ensembl:lncRNA